rnacentral:rRNA from 1 species
GGGGGUAAUAUGGAAUUUGCUUAUUGCACCACAUGUGUUUUUUAUUGAACAAAUUUCUUUGGUGGCGGGAGCAAUCCUACCGCCAGAGGUUAUAACUAAACCAAACUUUUUAUUUACAGUCAAACUUGAUUUAUUAUUACAAUAGUCAAAACUUUCAACAACGGAUCUCUUGGUUCUCGCAUCGAUGAAGAACGCAGCGAAAUGCGAUACGUAAUAUGAAUUGCAGAUAUUCGUGAAUCAUCGAAUCUUUGAACGCACAUUGCGCCCUUUGGUAUUCCAAAGGGCAUGCCUGUUUGAGCGUCAUUUCUCCCUCAAACCCCCGGGUUUGGUGUUGAGCAAUACGCUAGGUUUGUUUGAAAGAAUUUAACGUGGAAACUUAUUUUAAGCGACUUAGGUUUAUCCAAAAACGCUUAUUUUGCAAGUGGCCACCACAAUUUAUUUCAUAACUUUGACCUCAAAUCAGGUAGGACUACCCGCUGAACUUAAGCAUAUCAAUAAGUCGGAGGAGAAG